AUACGUAGGGGGCGAGCGUUGUCCGGAAUGAUUGGGCGUAAAGGGCGCGUAGGCGGCCCGGUAAGUCUGGAGUGAAAGUCCUGUUUUUAAGAUGGGAAUUGCUUUGGAUACUGUCGGGCUUGAGUGCAGGAGAGGUAAGUGGAAUUCCCAGUGUAGCGGUGAAAUGCGUAGAGAUUGGGAGGAACACCAGUGGCGAAGGCGACUUUCUGGACUGUAACUGACGCUGAGGCGCGAAAGUGUGGGGAGCAAACAGGAUUAUAUACCCUGGUAGUCCACACUGUAAACGAUGAAUGCUAGGUGUAGGGGGUAUCGACCCCUUCUGUGCCGCAGUCAACACAAUAAGCAUUCCGCCUGGGGAGUACGGCCGCAAGGUUGAAACUCAAAUGAAUUGACGGGG
rnacentral:rRNA from 1 species